rnacentral:rRNA from 1 species
AGAGUUUGAUCCUGGCUCAGGAUGAACGCUGGCGGCGUGCUUAACACAUGCAAGUCGAACGAGCCUUCGGGCUAGUGGCGGACGGGUGAGUAACGCGUGGGAAUCUGCCCUCAGGAGGGGGAUAACGGCCGGAAACGGCCGCUAAUACCCCAUAUGCCGAGAGGUGAAACGAAUUUCGCCUGAGGAUGAGCCCGCGUCUGAUUAGCUAGUUGGUGAGGUAAUGGCUCACCAAGGCAUCGAUCAGUAGCUGGUCUGAGAGGAUGAUCAGCCACACUGGGACUGAGACACGGCCCAGACUCCUACGGGAGGCAGCAGUGGGGAAUUUUCCGCAAUGGGCGCAAGCCUGACGGAGCAACGCCGCGUGAGGGACGAAGGCCUCUGGGCUGUAAACCUCUUUUCUCAAGGAAGAAGACAUGACGGUACUUGAGGAAUAAGCCACGGCUAAUUCCGUGCCAGCAGCCGCGGUAAUACGGGAGUGGCAAGCGUUAUCCGGAAUUAUUGGGCGUAAAGCGUCCGCAGGCGGCCUUGAAAGUCUGUUGUUAAAGCGUGGAGCUCAACUCCAUUUCAGCAAUGGAAACUACAAGGCUAGAGUGUGGUAGGGGCAGAGGGAAUUCCCGGUGUAGCGGUGAAAUGCGUAGAUAUCGGGAAGAACACCAGUGGCGAAGGCGCUCUGCUGGGCCAUAACUGACGCUCAUGGACGAAAGCCAGGGGAGCGAUAGGGAUUAGAUACCCCUGUAGUCCUGGCCGUAAACGAUGAACACUAGGUGUCGGGAGAAUUAACCCUUUCGGUGUCGUAGCCAACGCGUUAAGUGUUCCGCCUGGGGAGUACGCACGCAAGUGUGAAACUCAAAGGAAUUGACGGGGGCCCGCACAAGCGGUGGAGUAUGUGGUUUAAUUCGAUGCAACGCGAAGAACCUUACCAGGGUUUGACAUCCUGCGUAUCCUUUGGAAACUUAGGAGUGCCUUCGGGAGCGCAGUGACAGGUGGUGCAUGGCUGUCGUCAGCUCGUGUCGUGAGAUGUUGGGUUAAGUCCCGCAACGAGCGCAACCCACGUCUUUAGUUGCCAGCAUUUAGUUGGGCACUCUAGAGAGACCGCCGGUGAUAAACCGGAGGAAGGUGUGGAUGACGUCAAGUCAUCAUGCCCCUUACAUCCUGGGCUACACACGUACUACAAUGCUACGGACAAAGGGCAGCAAACUCGCGAGAGCUAGCAAAUCCCAUAAACCGUGGCUCAGUUCAGAUCGUAGGCUGCAACUCGCCUACGUGAAGGAGGAAUCGCUAGUAAUCGCAGGUCAGCAUACUGCGGUGAAUACGUUCCCGGGCCUUGUACACACCGCCCGUCACACCAUGGAAGUUGGCCAUGCCCGAAGUCGUUACUCCAACCCGCAAGGGAGGAGGACGCCGAAGGUGGGGCUGAUGACUGGGGUGAAGUCGGAACAAGGUA